CGCCGAACGCCCGCGAAGGCACCGAGCCACCUUCGCAUGGCGGAGGCACGAGUUCGAGUCUCGUCGGGUCCA
rnacentral:tRNA from 1 species